GGAGAGAAAUCAACAUGGAGGCAAAUGAACAGGAAGAUGGUCUAGACCCCAAGUGGUUUUAAACAGCCAUAGAUAACUAAGUGUAAAUUGUAAAAGGGUGUGAGCCUCUGUUUUAAAAGAGCCCAUCAUCUGCUCCUCAAAAGAGUGCUGUAAUUGGCAUUGAAAUGUACUCAGACCAUAGAGUUCUAUCUUCAAGGAAUCUCUAAGUCCUCCUCCAAGCUACCACAUGCAUUAGUCAGAAUUCUCUAGGCACAGAGAGUAAGAGAGCAAGAGAGCAGGAGAGAAUGAGAGAGUGAGAGAGAGAGGGGCGAAGGGACGAGGGGAGGGCAAUAGAAUGGCUAAUAUCCAAGAGGAUCUGGGUAGUCCAACAGUAGCCUUUCAGACAAUGGAGCAUUGAGAACACAGUAGCUGCUUAGUUCAGUAUGCCUGGUGCUCAAAGCCCAAUAAAUUCCUGAAGACUCUUAGGCUUGCAUUCUGUAUUGAAACCUGAAGAAGCUGAAGUAUGCUAGCAGCAAAUGGAUGGCUUCGGUAGCACCAGUGACAGACUCAGCAGCAAAAAGCCAAGGCACCAGACAGCACUGCCUUUCCUCAGACCUCAUCUCUUUACCAGAAAGCAGUGCCAAUCCUGGAAGCUGAUCUUCUCACCUGGUAAUGCUUUCUGAAAAUGCCCUUACAGACCCUCCUGAGGCAGGCCUUAACUGAUUUCAGGGGCAGUCAAGUUGCUCAUGAAGAUUAACCAUCUCAGCACACUGACAGACAAUAUGAGCCAGCUUGAACUUUAGUGUAAAUUAAAGAAUGAAGCGAUUCUGCAAGAUUAAGUAUGACUUCAUACUCUUGUUGCAAGUUUUAUUCCAAAUAGAUGCUGUUUAAAAUGUGUGUCGUGAGUCAACAGUGAAGAAAAAGAUCACUUUGGUGGUUACAGACAGAAUGCAACCACAGCACAUCUUGUUGAGGUGGGAGUCUUUAUGCAUUAUUCUCCUUAUUUUACCAGGCAGGAAGUAGUGCAGAGAGGCUAAGUGACUUGCCCAAGGACAAAGAGUGAGUCAGAUGCAGAGCUGGGAAUGCAGCCCACUUUCCCUGGUUCCCAGUGUACAGCUUUUCUCAGCAAGCCAUAAUGCCUCUCAGAUGGAUCAGUUCCUAAAAUGUAUUAAGCUGUUAAAAAUUCAAUAAAGGUGCUACAUUACUUUCCAA